GACGAACGCUGGCGGCGUGCUUAAUACAUGCAAGUCGAACGGAAAGACCCUGCUCUUGUGGGGUGCUCGAUUGGCGAACGGGUGAGUAACACGCGAGUAACCUGCCCUUGACUUUGUGAUAACUUCUGGAAACUGGGGCUCAUACCCCAUAGAAUCUCCUGCAGCAUGGUGGGGGUUGGAAAGUUCCGGCGGUUGGGGAUGGACUGGCGGCUUAUCAGCUUGUUUGUGGGGUAGUGGCUUACGAAGGCUUUGACGGAUAGCCGGCCUGAGAGGGUUACCGGGCACAUUAGUACUGAGAUAGGGACCAGACUGCAACGGGAGGCAGUAGUGGAGAGUAUGACGCAGUGAGCGGGCGCGUGAUGCAGCAACGCCGCGUGCGGGAUAACGGCUUACGAGUUAUAAACCGAUUUCGAAUGAAACGAGGAGUGAGUGACGGUAAUGAGUAAAGAAGCCACGGCUAACUACGUG
rnacentral:rRNA from 1 species